GAGGAAUAUUGGUCAAUGGGGGCAACCCUGAACCAGCCAUGCCGCGUGAAGGAUGAAGGCUCUAUGAGUUGUAAACUUCUUUUGUACGGGGAGAAAACGCAUUACGAGUAGUGCACUGACUGUACCGUAUGAAUAAGCAUCGGCUAACUCCGUGCCAGCAGCCGCGGUAAUACGGAGGAUGCAAGCGUUAUCCGGAUUUAUUAGGUUUAAAGGGUGCGUAGGCUGACCGAUAAGUCAGUGGUGAAAUGCCGCAGCUUAACUGCGGAACUGCCAUUGAUACUGUUGGUCUUGAAUGUGGUUGAGGCAGGCGGAAUGUGUAGUGUAGCGGUGAAAUGCUUAGAUAUUACACAGAACACCGAUUGCGUAGGCAGCUUGCUAAGCCAUGAUUGACGCUGAGGCACGAAAGCGUGGGGAUCGAAC
rnacentral:rRNA from 1 species